rnacentral:rRNA from 1 species
UACGAAGGGGGCUAGCGUUGCUCGGAAUUACUGGGCGUAAAGCGCACGUAGGCGGUCUUUUAAGUCGGGGGUGAAAUCCUGGAGCUCAACUCCAGAACUGCCUUCGAUACUGAAAGUCUUGAGUAUGGGAGAGGUGAGUGGAACUGCGAGUGUAGAGGUGAAAUUCGUAGAUAUUCGCAAGAACACCAGUGGCGAAGGCGGCUCACUGGCCCAUUACUGACGCUGAGGCACGAAAGCGUGGGGAGCAAACAGG